GGCCGGCUGGCCUAAUGGUUAAGGCGUCAGUUUCCGGUGACGGAUUAGCUGAAGAUUCUGGGUUCGACUCCCAGGUUGGUCG
rnacentral:tRNA from 1 species